GUCCACGCCCUAAACGAUGUUAACUCUAUAUUUAUUCUUCGGAGUGAGUGUCCAAGCGAAAGCGUUAAGUUAACCACCUGGGGAGUACGUUCGCAAGAAUGAAACUCAAAGGAAUUGAUGGGGGUCCGCACAAGCGGUUGAGCAUGUGGUUUAAUUCGAUGAUACGCGAGGAACCUUACCUAGGCUAGAAUGCGAGUGCCGAUUCCUGAAAGGGAAUUUUCCUUCGGGGACACAAAGCAAGGUGCUGCAUGGCUGUCGU
rnacentral:rRNA from 1 species